rnacentral:rRNA from 1 species
AUGUGGAAACUGAAGGUACCUUUGAAAAUUAAGGCUUUUAUAUGGUUAGUUAUCAAAGGGAGGAUCCUGACCAAGGACAACUUGUGUAAAAAAGGCUAGAAAGGCACCAACAAAUGUGAAUUUUGUGAUGCCAAUGAAUGUAUUGAUCAUCUGUUUUUCACUUGUUCUUUUGCUAGGUUUCUUUGGAAUGUAGUUGGGAGUGCUUUGGGAAAUCCCAAACACCCCUGUCAUUCUUUGACUUUUGCCAGAAUUGGCUUCCUAAGUAUACUGGGAAAGAUAGAAUGGUUAUAG